AUGUUUCUAUCCUUCGUAGCAAAUGUGUUCUUCUUUUCAGAGCCGAUUUAUGAAGAUAGCUGCAAGAUUAUAAGCUGUGGCAGUGACCAAUCUAUUGACAUUACAUACGCAUAUUACGGUGUACAGUAUUGGUGCGAUGCAUCUAACGAGGUAGAGGUUCUGGACUGGAAAUGCUCCGGAAAGCAAUCUUGUCAAAUUUGUGCUUCUAACAGUUGGUUUGGGGAUCCUUGCGUUCUAAUUUACAAAUACCUCUGGUAUAACUUUGCCUGCAAACAUAUUGAUGACUGCCUGCCAGGUCCUUGUCGAAACCAUGGAACUUGUACAGACCUGGUUAAUGAUUACCAAUGUGAUUGUGUGGCAGGAUUCAAUGGGAAAAAUUGUGAAAACAAUGUCGAUGAAUGUUUAUCACAGCCUUGUAAGAACAAUGGAACUUGUGUAGAUCUGAUCAAUGAUUACAAAUGUCUUUGUGUGGACGGGUUUAAUGGAACUAAUUGCACUAAUAAUAUUGAUGACUGUCAACCAGAUCCUUGUGAGAACAACGGCACUUGUGCAGACCUGGUCAGUGACUAUCAUUGUGAUUGUGUGCCAGGAUUCAACGGGACAAACUGUGAAAACAAUGUCGAUGAAUGUAUAACACAACCUUGUAUGAAUAAUGGAACUUGUAUUGAUCUAAUCAGUGAUUACAAAUGUGUCUGUUUGGGCGGUUUUAAUGGAACUAACUGCACCAUUGAUAUUGAUGACUGUCAACCAGAUCCUUGUGAGAACAACGGCACUUGUGCAGACCUGGUCAGUGACUAUCAUUGUGAUUGUGUGCCAGGAUUCAACGGGACAAACUGUGAAAACAAUGUCGAUGAAUGUAUAACACAACCUUGUAUGAAUAAUGGAACUUGUAUUGAUCUAAUCAGUGAUUACAAAUGUGUCUGUUUGGGCGGUUUUAAUGGAACUAACUGCACCAUUGAUAUCAAUGACUGCAUGCCUGAUAUUUGUCAAAACAAUGGAACUUGUAAAGACCUGGUCAACGACUACAAAUGUAAUUGUGUGCUAGGAUUCAAUGGAACGAAUUGUGAAAACAAUAUCGAUGAGUGUGCAGUUCAACCUUGUCGGAACAAUGGAACAUGUAUAGAUCUGAUUAAUGAAUACCAGUGUCACUGUACGGAUGGAUUUAAUGGAACAAACUGUAAAAUUGAUAUCAACGAGUGUGCAUCUCUACCAUGUCAGAACAAUGGGACUUGUAUAGAUCUGAUCAACGAAUAUAAAUGUAGUUGUACAAACGGGUAUAGCGGAAUGAACUGUACAAAUGAUACAUAUGUGCUACAAAUACUCAACUUUGAAGGCAGCAACUUAGUACUACAUGAAAGAAACUCUGUCUGGUUUAAAUUACAAUUGAGAGGUAAAACGAUGUACGAGGUCAAGUGGUUUCACAAUGGAUUCGUGAUUAACAAUCCACCAAAAAGAUACAAAAUAACGUCACGUAGAGCAGAAAAUAACACAUCAUUACAUACUUUAGAUAUUGGAAACGUUUUACAGCGAGAUAUGGGAGCAUGGAAAAUCACAGUGUCUAAUCAAGUGACCUAUGUAUCAAGGGAAAUGACACUUAAAGUUAUUCCUAGAUUGGUGCUUCAUUUGAACCCGACAUACGACUUUUCAAUACUAAGGGGUGACAAAAUAAAUCUUCAAUGUACAGUCACAAAUCCAGAGUCUGUGUUUGAUGUCACCAACGGAAGUCUCGUUAUCACAAAGGAUGGGUCUGUGUUACCAGAUGUUAAUAGUUCAACUUUUUCAACAACAUGGAACAAGUAUUCAGCAAUGGAACCUGAUUCUGGUAGAUAUACAUGCACACACUCUGGUUACCAUGUUCUUGUGAGUGUUUCUGUGUAUGUUACUGUCAUUCAACCAGAACAAAAGAGAUGUGAAAGUGAAUGGUCAGAAGGUAAACUGUGGAAUGCUACAUUGGCAGGAACAACUAAACAGGAACCUUGUCCAGCAAAACAGAAAGGAUUUGCAACAAGAUAUUGUGAACAACAUGGAAUGUGGGCAUCUCCUAGCCUUAUCAACUGUACAAGUAAAGCUUUUACAGAUGCAUCAUCACAAUUGGAUGAUAUAAUAGAAGAUGGAAUACAAAAUACCGAGAAAGUUCAAAAGGCGGUCAACAACACAUUACAGAUGAUGAAGAACAUUACAUCAUCUACCAAUGAACUCAGUGCUGGGGAUCUGAGCUCCUCUCUUGACAUCUUGGAGAAAAUUGUCGACGUCACUAACUCCACAGGGUCGACUAUUGAGAAGGAGGUGUUUUAUGCUGUUAUUGACAACGUUUUAUCAGCUAACAACUCCAAAUCGUGGACAACGGUCAGUGAUAAGACCGGAAAAGACGCAAGCUCCAUCCUAAAGAAUAUGGAACGGCUAAGCGAGGUUGUAAUGCAAAGCGACAAUGUAUCGACAACACAAUUUACUGGUUCAAAUUUCGAACUGACAAUAAACCAAACCAAAAUAGAUGAAACUGGAAUACGUUUCCCAGAAAUAUCCACCAACAACGUUUCUGGAAAUUUCGAACAAAUUCCAACAUUUCUUGAAUUACCAAAACAAGACACGAAAUCGGAAAAGGGAGAAACCAAAAUGAACAACUCAGCAGCAGCAGAAAUGGAACUGAAUAGAUAUUUUGGAUCUAAACUUACAGAGGCCGACUUCAACCUUACGCUACUUGAAUGGUGAAAGAAAAAUGAAAGUUAUUUCCCUCGUUUAUCACAGGUUGCCAAUUUUUUUAGCAGUACCAGCAUCCUCAGUUCCCUCUGAGAGAAUUUUUAGUAUAGGAGGGGAAAUAGUUAAUAAAAAAAGAAGCAGACUACAUUGUGCAAAUGUUGACUUCCUCAUUUGCUUGAAUAAAAACCUCAAAACAUCAUGAAAUCAAAUUACUUAUGAUUUACAUGUAACAAAGUUAGCACUUCAAAGCAGCAAAGCAAUGAUAGUCACGUGAUCAGUGUCCUCUAUCUUCUUAAAUUUGAUAGAAAUCAUCGUAUUAGAUAUGAAUAUAUUAAUUGUUUAAAUUUAAAAACAAUUUAUUUCCAAUAGUAAAAUUACUGCAAAACUUAUACAGAAGGAGAC
rnacentral:misc_RNA from 1 species